rnacentral:rRNA from 1 species
GAUGAACGCUGGCGGCGUGCCUAAUACAUGCAAGUCGAGCGAACUGACGAGAAGCUUGCUUCUCUGAUGUUAGCGGCGGACGGGUGAGUAACACGUGGAUAACCUACCUAUAAGACUGGGAUAACUUCGGGAAACCGGAGCUAAUACCGGAUAAUAUUUUGAACCGCAUGGUUCAAAAGUGAAAGACGGUCUUGCUGUCACUUAUAGAUGGAUCCGCGCUGCAUUAGCUAGUUGGUAAGGUAACGGCUUACCAAGGCAACGAUGCAUAGCCGACCUGAGAGGAUGAUCGGCCACACUGGAACUGAGACACGGUCCAGACUCCUACGGGAGGCAGCAGUAGGGAAUCUUCCGCAAUGGGCGAAAGCCUGACGGAGCAACGCCGCGUGAGUGAUGAAGGUCUUCGGAUCGUAAAACUCUGUUAUUAGGGAAGAACAUAUGUGUAAGUAACUGUGCACAUCUUGACGGUACCUAAUCAGAAAGCCACGGCUAACUACGUG